GCCUUAGUAGCGGCGAGUGAAGCGGCAAAAGCUCAAAUUUGAAAUCUGGCUCUUUCAGAGUCCGAGUUGUAAUUUGAAGAAGGUAUCUUUGGGUCUGGCUCUUGUCUAUGUUUCUUGGAACAGAACGUCACAGAGGGUGAGAAUCCCGUGCGAUGAGAUGAUCCAGGCCUAUGUAAAGUUCCUUCGAAGAGUCGAGUUGUUUGGGAAUGCAGCUCUAAGUGGGUGGUAAAUUCCAUCUAAAGCUAAAUAUUGGCGAGAGACCGAUAGCGAACAAGUACAGUGAUGGAAAGAUGAAAAGAACUUUGAAAAGAGAGUGAAAAAGUACGUGAAAUUGUUGAAAGGGAAGGGCUUGAGAUCAGACUUGGUAUUUUGUAUGUUACUUCUUCGGGGGUGGCCUCUACAGUUUAUCGGGCCAGCAUCAGUUUGGGCGGUAGGAGAAUUGCGUUGGAAUGUGGCACGGCUUCGGUUGUGUGUUAUAGCCUUCGUCGAUACUGCCAGCCUAGACUGAGGACUGCGGUUUAUACCUAGGAUGUUGGCAUAAUGAUCUUAAGUCGCACAUCUUGACCAAGGGAA
rnacentral:rRNA from 1 species